AUGCUUGCUACCAGUUUAUCACUUCUCCAUUUUGGGCAUGUGGAUUCUGGCAGAGAUGCAGGAUCUGGAGUCAAACCUGACUCCCCUUGCUGGGCCUCUUUGCAUGCCGCAGUAAGAAGCUCUCUUGCUUUCCAUUUUGGUGCUCCCAACUUUUGCCUGUGGGUUCCCAUCUUCCUCUCCAGGAGCCGUUUAGAAGUGAUUUAUGGCUGCUGGCAUGUCAGAACCAGUGGGAGCUCCUGGGAUGGAAACGGCUGCCUGAUUUGCCAUGCUGAUAAGUACAAGCCAAACACACCCAGCAAUGCCAGAUGGCGGCGGCGUUAUCUAUCACAGAGCAUCUCAGAGCAGACGGAUGUUAUACAAACAUUUCACAACUGUGGUAUUAUUAUUGGUGCAAUUACUAUUAAUACUAUUUAUAAGUGUUAAAUUAACAUAAAUAUAGCACUGUAAUAAUGAACACAAACCGUAUUUAGCAUGAUUGCUGAUGUAAUAAUUAAUGACCUCUAUCAGUAAUGCUAUCUGCUCUUAUAAGGAAUGAUUCAACAGUAGCUUGUCUUGAUUUCUCAAAGGAAGGAGGGUUUGGGAAAAGGUUAGUGUGAGUCAGAGCCCGGGGAAAGAUGUGGGAGUUGGAGAUGGUGCCCAGCUUCAGAGAAAAUUGUCAUGGGAGUCUGAAAACCGAGGACGCUAAUGAAUUGUGGAUUUUGGGAGAAGCAGACAGCAGUGUGGGCUUGUGGCAGUUUUCAGGCAUGAUGGCUCUGUACCAGCUAUUUCUGAAACGGGGUUUGCAGCUUUCUGGGCUUAGGUUUCGAGGUGGUCAGAGUAUCUGAACUAGAACAAUUUGAAGUGUAUGGUUGGUGCCAUAGUGCCAAAGCCAAAACAUUCAUUUGGGAAUCUAAGACCUGUUACUUGCCCAUGCUCUCAUUUCAAUGCUGCCUCUGACCUGCUGUGAGACUUUACAUAAAUCUGUGCCUCCAUCUGUCUUUUUUUUUUUUUUUUAUGGCAGUCUUUUUUGGGUCCUUGUCUGUAUGCAGCUCCUAGCACAAUAGGGAGCUGAGCCUGAUAGGACCUCUGGAUCCCGUAACGAUGCUGGUAAUGAGAUGACUGGGAGAUUCUGGCUGGAGCUCCGGGCCUGACGGUGGUCCAGGGGCAGGAUUUGUCUGCCCUGCCUUGAAACACUGAUAUGUGUUCAAGUCUGAGCUUGUUACCACAGCCCAGUUCUUACCUUAGGGCUGACUGUAGCAUGAGUUAAUAUAUAUAUAUAUUUCUCCAUAAGGAUUAUCGAGGAGUCUAACUUUAAGUGCUUAGCUCUCUUGUGCCUGAGUCAGGGUGGCUGAAACUCUAGCUUUGAGAGAAGGGCUUAUAUUCCCCUUGAGGUGUAAAGCUCAUACAUUGAAUUUAGAAGCAACUAAUUCUGCUGACAGACAGAAAAACGCAAGCAGGUCUCUCAAGUACCUUCUUGCCCCGGCUGUCAUGCGACGGCACGUCUUCUGGUGUGUUGAGCCCCGGGAGAUGGAGAGGGCUAAACACCAGCCCUCGCUAGGGAAACAGGCAUCCUCUGAGUGCCCUUGCAGUGCUGAGGCCCCUAAAGCUGAGUGGCUCCAAAGCAUCUUCCCUGCAAGGUUGUGCAGCCCCAGGAGAAGCAGUGGAGCCACGGUCCCAGAAAUAUUUAGAAGUUGGCUGGAUGAGGUCCUGAGCUAAUCUGAAGCUGCCUCAAGUUCCUCUGAGAAGGAGGUCAGACUGGAGAGCUCCGGAGGUCCCCUCUACCCCAACCUAUGCUGUGAUUCUCUGACAUUUGUAAAAAUCCCUCUUGGUAUGCACAUAAUCUUGAGGCAUUGCCUUGGAAAAAUCAGUCCGAGACCUUUCUGCUCCAAUAGGCUUCUUUGGGAAACCCGGGCUAGGCUAUAAAUGGCUUUAGAAAAUAUUUCCCAUCUAUAUAUGUCAAACGUAAUAAAGGGAGCAGGAGGUUCCUGCCCGAUAAAACA
rnacentral:lncRNA from 1 species